CCGCGUCAUCGGCUCCUGCGCCGUGCGCUCGACGGUGGGGAACCGGCUCGGACGGCUCGCGUCGGGUGGUCCAGAGAGAAACGUGGCGAUGACGAGACUGACGCUUUUUUGUCUUUUUCUUUUUUCUAGGCACAUGUGAUUUUAAAUUGUACAAAUGAUUCUGUGGUUGUGCUGGAGGUACUGAGGCCAAAGCAACCGAGAUCUGCCCAUUAGAGCCGGAAUUCAGCUGAUUAAGGAAUUGGAAGGAGAUUUCGCGUCUGUUCCUAAUGAUGGCCGGCUGAACUUCAUGGAAGAAAUUGCUUACUGCAGGAUUUGGUCGUGAGGUCGGAGAUGUUCCUGGGGCCUUAAGCUUGCGACUAGAUCGUCAGCUAAUGUCAACUCAAUAGGUCUAGGAUGCUGUUUCCGGUCGAUGUCGGUAUCUUCCUCUCUUUCCUUUUCUCUGUAGUCCGGUUCUUUAUGGAGACUAGCUUGUGUGAAUUAGCAUUAAUUCAUCAUCCAAGCUUGUGGAAUCGACUUUCAUCAACUAUUACUUCGAUAGUAUAUGAUACUUAAUGCUAGAUUCAUGGUAGAUGAAUUUCCA